UUUCCGUAGGUGAACCUGCGGAAGGAUCAUUCAUAAUAAGUGUUCUACUGCACUUUUUAAAAAUAGUACUCACCUUGUGUGCAAUGUUGUGUUUCUUCUCGGAGAAACACCUACACCAACCUAUAACCUUGAACCACUUUGUCUGAAAAACUAUUAUGAAUACUUAAUUCAAAAUACAACUUUCAACAACGGAUCUCUUGGCUCUCGCAUCGAUGAAGAACGAGC
rnacentral:misc_RNA from 1 species